rnacentral:snRNA from 1 species
GUGCUUGCUUCAGCAGCACAUAUACUAAAAUUGAAACGAUACAGAGUAGAUUAGCAUAUCCCCUGCUCAA